CGGUAGAGGGGGCAACCCCUCGAGAGUGGCGAACGGGUGAGUAAUAUAUCGGAACGUGCCCAGUCGUGGGGGAUAACGUAGCGAAAGUUACGCUAAUACCGCAUACGAUCUACGGAUGAAAGCGGGGGAUCGCAAGACCUCGCGCGAUUGGAGUGGCCGAUAUCAGAUUAGGUAGUUGGUGGGGUAAAGGCUCACCAAGCCAACGAUCUGUAGCUGGUCUGAGAGGACGACCAGCCACACUGGAACUGAGACACGGUCCAGACUCCUACGGGAGGCAGCAGUGGGGAAUUUUGGACAAUGGACGCAAGUCUGAUCCAGCCAUUCCGCGUGCAGGAUGAAGGCCCUCGGGUUGUAAACUGCUUUUGUACGGAACGAAAAGGUUUCUAUUAAUACUAGGAGCUCAUGACGGUACCGUAAGAAUAAGCACCGGCUAACUACGUGCCAGCAGCCGCGGUAAUACGUAGGGUGCAAGCGUUAAUCGGGAUUACUGGGCGUAAAGCGUGCGCAGGCGGUUAUGUAAGACAGAGGUGAAAUCCCCGGGCUCAACCUGGGAACUGCCUUUGUGACUGCAUAGCUAGAGUACGGUAGAGGGGGAUGGAAUUCCGCGUGUAGCAGUGAAAUGCGUAGAUAUGCGGAGGAACACCGAUGGCGAAGGCAAUCCCCUGNACCUGUACUGACGCUCAUGCACGAAAGCGUGGGGAGCAAACAGGAUUAGAUACCCUNNAGUCCACGCCCUAAACGAUGUCAACUGGNUNGUUGGGUCUUCACUGACUCAGUAACGAAGCUAACGCGUGAAGUUGACCGCCUGNNGAGUACGGCCGCAAGGNUGAAACUCAANGAAUUGANGGG
rnacentral:rRNA from 1 species